GUAAUACUGUCUCUAUAACUGUAUUAGAUAAACCCAGGGCCACACUGACAGCAGGAACAACAAUCAUACCAGUAGGGGGCAGUGUGACACUGACCUGCUCUGUGCAGAGCUCUGAUGGAUGGAAAUAUGAGUGGUUCAGACGAACCCAAACAACCUCUGAAGUUCAAAUCAGAGAUCAACAAAACAGAGAUAUCAGAGUAUCUGAAGGAGGAAUCUACAGCUGCAGAGGAACAAGAGGAAACCCAGUUUACUACACUGAUAUAAGUUAUGAUGUCACCAUUGAGAAAACCAUUUCCAAUAAAGUUGUUGUAAAACAACAACCCAACUGGCCUCAGAUAUUCAGAGGUGAGACGAUCACUCUGACAUGUGAGGUGCAGGAAGGAGGUGAAACCACUGAGUGGGAGUAUGAAUGGAGAGGACCCAGGACACCCACACAGUGGACACACAAUAAUGA